GACGAACGCUGGCGGCGUGCUUAACACAUGCAAGUCGAACGGAAAGGCCCUGCUUUUGUGGGGUGCUCGAGUGGCGAACGGGUGAGUAACACGUGAGUAACCUGCCCUUGACUUUGGGAUAACUUCAGGAAACUGGGGCUAAUACCGGAUAGGAGCUCCUGCUGCAUGGGGGGGGUUGGAAAGUUUCGGCGGUUGGGGAUGGACUCGCGGCUUAUCAGCUUGUUGGUGGGGUAGUGGCUUACCAAGGCUUUGACGGGUAGCCGGCCUGAGAGGGUGACCGGCCACAUUGGGACUGAGCUACGGCCCAGCCUCCUACGGGAGGCAGCAGUGGGGAAUCUUGCACAAUGGGCGGAAGCCUGAUGCAGCAACGCCGCGUGCGGGAUGACGGCCUUCGGGUUGUAAACCGCUUUCGCCUGUGACGAAGCGUGAGUGACGGUAAUGGGUAAAGAAGCACCGGCUAACUACGUG
rnacentral:rRNA from 1 species